rnacentral:lncRNA from 1 species
UGUGAGGACAAUAGCAGCUCGCGCUGGAAGCUGUUAGGGUUUCGGCGUUUGGGGAAAGUUUUGGGCUAGGUUGGGCUGGAUUGGGUUUUGGGCUAGGCUAGUGUUUGGGUAGUUUAGGUUAAAACGGGUUGGGCCUAUGUAUUUGGACUUUAUUUAUUUUUAUUUGGUUUUUUAAUUUUUAUUUAUUUAAUCCUAAUGGGCCUGGGCUAAAAAUUGGGUAUUACAGCUGCCCCUCUUUGCUCGUUGUCGUGUAACGGGAACGGAGCAAAGACUUUAGAAAUGACCAACUUUUGCCCAGUAGCACUGGAUCUUGGUGCUCUUCUUCUUCGAGUUGCCUCAU